rfam:Vitis vinifera, whole genome shotgun sequence of line PN40024, unoriented chromosome 16, chr16
GAUCGCGGUGAUGACCCACUGAAAUUCAAGCUCAACAGACCGGAAUGCGGAGUUUCUCUCCUUUGAGAGCCUCGCGUGUCGACCACCCCACUGAACUGAGGGAUC